rnacentral:lncRNA from 1 species
CUGGCGUACUAAAUUAUAAUCCUGGUACCUUUGAUAACUUUUUACACCACUGGGUCGAUGCCACUGCUGGUGGACGUUUCGUCCCCGAGGGUAUCACCAGCCCAGUAGUCAACACUUCGUGUUGACAUGAAUAUCAAUAAUGUGGUCAUUUUUAUAAAUUUCCUGUUUACAAAAUUUUGAAUUUUUCAAAAUACUAAGGAUUUUCUUAUCCCAGGCAUAGAUUACCUUAGCCGUAUUGGCAUAACUUUUUGGAAUUUUGGAUCCUCAAUGCUCUUCAACUUUGUACUUGUUUGGCUUUAUAAAUAUUUUGAUAUGAGCGUCACUGAUGAGUCUUAUGUAGACGAAACGCGCGUCUGGC